UUAGAUCACAUCUAGAUGUGUGGUGCUUUUUUCCUUAGGUUGAAGUUUUGCAUGAUUUUGAGGCAGCUAACAGUGAUGAGCUUAAUUUAAAACGAGGAGAUAUUGUGCUAGUGAUUCCUUCUGAGACCACAGCUGAUCAGGAGGCUGGCUGGUUGACUGGCAUUAAGGAAUCCGAGUGGCUUCAGUACAGAGAUGCAAAUAGUUAUAAAGGACUUCUCCCAGAGAACUUCACACGCCAUCUGGAGUAGUUGUCCCAGGCAGACAAAUGUAGUAUGAAGAUCAGUCAGUAGGUUUUUAACCUCUUUGAAACACAGGAGCCCACCUUUUUGUUGUUUAAGCUGUGAAUGGUUUACAGACUGGUGCCAGACAAAGCUAGUUGAAACAUAUCAAAUGAGCAUGAGUGCAAACAGUUAAGCUUUAAUUUCUGAAGCAGUACAUGGGAAAAAAAACCACAUAAAAAUGAAAUGUCCUUAUUUGUUCACGAGUAUGUGGUGACAGGUUUGUUUGUGCUUUGUCAGAGCUAUGGUGAUCCUGUAUUUGAUCCUUUCCCAAGAAAUCUGAAAUUAGCUUCCUCAAUACCAAAACCUUAACUUCUCUGCACUAAGUGUAUUGUAUUACGUUGCACUGCAGAAGAUUUAAUUAUUUAUCCUGUAGUUAUAAGGUCAAACUAUUGCAAGUUCCAUAUGUUAAAAAGAUAGUUAACUACUGCAAUGUUUUUCAGUGUUAUUUUUGGACAUGCAUAAUAUAUAUACACAAGAACUUAUAUGUGUAUAUAUAAGUGCAUAUGGCUAUAUGCAUUUUCACAACUUCAUUGUAGCUCUUUGGCUGUGUAGUAUCAUCCAGUACAUGCAUUGCUUUUUCCUUGUCUGGCAUUACAGGAAACAGUUUUGUUCAAAGCAAAACUAACUACUCCAUUGCCAAAACAUGAUACAAUAUCUGUGUUUGUAAUGUGAAAUUUUCAUUCUUAGAUGAUGAAUAACAUCAUGUUCAAAGCCGCUAACCUUUGAGAAGGCAUGGCUUGGUCUCCUCUUCCAGAUGCUGUAGUUACAAUGAGAUAACCUGGAGGAGGGAGUUGUUAUGAUGCUAAUCUAUACUUUUUCAUUUAAUUGGCUGAAUCCAUUUUCAAAAAGCAACAGAACUAAUCUCUGAGAAUAAAUAAACACAAUAUAUUUUCACUAUAUGUCUUUAUGCAGCAUACCUUCACAGAGCCUUUUAAAGUAAGAUAUAUAUAUCCUGUAUCAAAAAGUCAUCUGUAACUUAUGUUUUCCAGUGCUGUGUCAUUAAAAAUAAACCUUUGGUCCAAAGAA